GUGACAUUUUCUCGACCGCAUACCAACAUCGACGUUAGAGGUCUUUCGAUACCGCUUAAUAUUCUGCGUGUCUUUGGAUAUGCAACACAUCGCAUUAAUAUUAAUAGUAGCGGGCGCCAUCUGUGCGGUGCAGACCGCACCUCAGCCACAUAAUGUUAACGCCGACGACCUGCACGAUAUUAUGAAGAAGCUGCUGCCAUUAUUACAGCGAUCACGCGCCAAAGCCGAAAGCAUCACGUCAGGAGGAAUCGGUGCAGAUGCGAACGAGAUCAAUGGAAAAAACGAGGCGUGGUCAAUGUUUGAGGAUGCCGACAGCGGCGAUGAGAAGCGCUUCGAUGACUACGGACACUGGCGGUUCGGCCGAUCGCAGCUGGCGGCAAGUAACACGGACAAACGAUACGAUGACUACGGCCAUUGGCGCUUUGGCUAGAUAUCAUAAUCGCGCACGCCCCGAUUAGCGAGUUUUCACGAAGGCAACGUACGGUUGAUUAAGCACCUAACUCAUGGGAAAAAGGAAGGGAGAUGGAUUUGCAAGCUUACAUCUAUAGCUCUGUCAAUUGCUUGUACACAUGUAUAUAUAUCAGGACUCUAACGGGAUACCGUUAGUGCUUUUAUAUCUGCUUAAUAGCGAUGUAUCUAUUCCGGGUUACAAUACACGGCACUACUGAUAAUCCUGAUAAUAAUAAAGUACCAGCAAAUCAAUGGAUCCAGUGAGAUAUGAGUGCAUGGCCUGUGGCCUGCGGACAUUUUUUCUAAAUACGUCAACGGGACAAAUCACAAUAAAGUGGCGAAAUGCAAUCGCUAAUUCAUUAUA
rnacentral:lncRNA from 1 species